rnacentral:rRNA from 1 species
UAGGGAAUCUUCCACAAUGGACGAAAGUCUGAUGGAGCAACGCCGCGUGAGUGAAGAAGGUUUUCGAAUCGUAAAACUCUGUUGUUGAAGAAGAACAUGCGUGAGAGUAACUGUUCAUGUAUUGACGGUAUUCAACCAGAAAGCCACGGCUAACUACGUGCCAGCAGCCGCGGUAAUACGUAGGUGGCAAGCGUUAUCCGGAUUUAUUGGGCGUAAAGCGAGUGCAGGCGGUUUAUUAGGUCUGAUGUGAAAGCCCUCGGCUCAACCGAGGAAGUGCAUCGGAAACCGGUAAACUUGAGUGCAGAAGAGGAGAGUGGAACUCCAUGUGUAGCGGUGGAAUGCGUAGAUAUAUGGAAGAACACCAGUGGCGAAGGCGGCUCUCUGGUCUGUAACUGACGCUGAGGCUCGAAAGCGUGGGUAGCAAACA